AUAUUGGACAAUGGGCGCAAGCCUGAUCCAGCAAUGCCGCGUGUGUGAAGAAGGCCUGCGGGUUGUAAAGCACUUUCAGUAGAGAAGAAAAGCCUACGGUUAAUACCCGUGAGUCUUGACGUAACCUACAGAAGAAGCACCGGCUAACUCCGUGCCAGCAGCCGCGGUAAUACGGAGGGUGCAAGCGUUAAUCGGAAUUACUGGGCGUAAAGCGCGCGUAGGCGGUUUUGUAAGUCGGAUGUGAAAUCCCCGGGCUUAACCUGGGAACUGCAUUCGAUACUGCAUAACUAGAGUAUGGUAGAGGGAAGUGGAAUUCCGGGUGUAGCGGUGAAAUGCGUAGAUAUCCGGAGGAACACCAGUGGCGAAGGCGACUUCCUGGGCCAAUACUGACGCUGAGGUGCGAAAGCGUGGGGAGCAGACAGGAUUAGAUACCCUGGUAGUCCACGCCGUAAACGAUGAGAACUAGAUGUCGGGAGGAUUUGCUUUUCGGUGUCGCAGCUAACGCGUUAAGUUCUCCGCCUGGGGAGUACGCCGGCAACGGUAAAACUCAAAGGAAUUGACGGGGACCCGCACAAGCGGUGGAGCAUGUGGUUUAAUUCGAUGCAACGCGAAGAACCUUACCUGCCCUUGACAUUGACAGAAUCCUGUAGAGAUACGGGAGUGCUUCGGCCUGGAAAACAGGUGCUGCAUGGCCGUCGUCAGCUCGUGUCGUGAGAUGUUGGGUUAAGUCCCGCAACGAGCGCAACCCUUGUCCUUAGUUGCCAGCACGUAAUGGUGGGAACUCUAGGGAGACUGCCGGUGACAAACCGGAGGAAGGUGGGGACGACGUCAAGUCAUCAUGGCCCUUAUGGGCAGGGCUACACACGUGCUACAAUGGGGAGUACAGAGGGCCGCCAACCAGCAAUGGUGAGCCAAUCCCUUAAAGCUUCUCGUAGUCCGGAUCGGAGUCUGCAACUCGACUCCGUGAAGUCGGAAUCGCUAGUAAUCGCGAAUCAGAAUGUCGCGGUGAAUACGUUCCCGGGUCUUGUACACACCGCCCGUCACACCAUGGA
rnacentral:rRNA from 1 species